GUUUUUUGGGGGGGCCUUCCCUAAACUUGGAUCAGAUGAAAUAAGUCAUGAAUCAUCAAAUGAGACCAAGAGGACACCAAACUGAAAUGUGAAUGUAUCGUCAACACAAGCCUGCACAUGGAUCCACGUCGACUGGUUUGUGGAAGCUGCAUUAGCAUUACUGAGCCGCAGCGCCGCGGGAUCAAAGAGGCUUUGUCCUGUGAUGCGUGAGGGUCGUGCAGGUAUGGGACAGACGCGGCCUGACCCCAGACUACAGGGCAGCAGGGACACAAUCUGCUCCGAGACCCGCUCCUGUGCUCAUCGGCCACUGAACGAGAAGCUGCUCUGUGAAGAUACCACAGUGUCCCGAGGAGAGAUGGGAAGGCUGAUGCUGUGCCAUGUGGCGAGAGCAAAGAUGGCAGGAUUUCUUGUGUGAAAGUUGCGGCCUUCAUCCAGACGGCGCAAUUUACGCAGACUUAAUGGAACAAAAGAAAGUUUGGAAAGAAAGGAAGAUGGGAGGACCUCGAGACAAAAAGAGAAAAUGCAUGAUCACUUUGUCAUCUAUUGAAGCUCAUGAAAACACCGCCGAUCGCAGCUGCUCAGAGAGAGAAUAGCAGCACUUCCUGCAGUCGUCACGUCUGGAGAUGAAGCCGCGGACAGCAUGGAAUGAAGUUAGAUGCCUGAAAUGUCACUGAAAAAUGAAAGGGCAUGAGAGAGUGCCGCUGUGAGAACAAGAAAACAACACACAACACACAACAGAGCCAGUGAGAGCCAAUCACUUCGAGAUGUCAGAGAGCGACCGGGGAAAGCGUUUGGACCUCAGCGAUUAUGGUGAAGGCAAUCCCAUAAUGCACUGCGACAAGCUCAGUGAAACAAAAUCAACUAAGAUGAAAGCAGGAUUGCUCAGUAGGCUUUUCCACGGUGCUGAGAAAUGAAGUGAAUGGAGUUUAAGCAAACAGAGUCAGGUCUGCCUGCAGC
ensembl:lncRNA